rnacentral:rRNA from 1 species
AACGAACGCUGGCGGCAGGCUUAACACAUGCAAGUCGAGCGCCCCGCAAGGGGAGCGGCAGCCGGGUGAGUAACGCGUGGGAACGUACCUUUUGGUUCGGAACAACUCCGGGAAACUGGAGCUAAUACCGGAUAAGCCCUAACGGGGAAAGAUUUAUCGCCGAAAGAUCGGCCCGCGUCUGAUUAGCUAGUUGGUGAGGUAACGGCUCACCAAGGCGACGAUCAGUAGCUGGUCUGAGAGGAUGAUCAGCCACACUGGGACUGAGACACGGCCCAGACUCCUACGGGAGGCAGCAGUGGGGAAUAUUGGACAAUGGGCGCAAGCCUGAUCCAGCCAUGCCGCGUGAGUGAUGAAGGCCUUAGGGUUGUAAAGCUCUUUUGUCCGGGAAGAUAAUGACUGGACCGGAAGAAUAAGCCCCGGCUAACUUCGU